AGCUGGUAAAAUGGAACCAAAUCAACUGUUGAAUGGAUUUGGUCCCCUUCAACCAGCUGU
ensembl:miRNA